rnacentral:rRNA from 1 species
AUUGAACGCUGGCGGCAGGCCUAACACAUGCAAGUCGAGCGGAUGACGGGAGCUUGCUCCUUGAUUCAGCGGCGGACGGGUGAGUAAUGCCUAGGAAUCUGCCUGGUAGUGGGGGGCAACGUUUCGAAAGGAACGCUAAUACCGCAGACGUCCUACGGGAGAAAGCAGGGGACCUUCGGGCCUUGCGCUAUCAGAUGAGCCUAGGUCGGAUUAGCUAGUUGGUGAGGUAAUGGCUCACCAAGGCGACGAUCCGUAACUGGUCUGAGAGGAUGAUCAGUCACACUGGAACUGAGACACGGUCCAGACUCCUACGGGAGGCAGCAGUGGGGAAUAUUGGACAAUGGGCGAAAGCCUGAUCCAGCCAUGCCGCGUGUGUGAAGAAGGUCUUCGGAUUGUAAAGCGCUUUAAGUUGGGAGGAAGGGCAGUAAGUUAAUACCUUGCUGUUUUGACGUUACCGACAGAAUAAGCACCGGCUAACUCUGUGCCAGCCGCCGCGGUAAGAC